CCUACGGGAGGCAGCAGUGGGGAAUUUUGGACAAUGGGGGCAACCCUGAUCCAGCAAUGCCGCGUGUGUGAAGAAGGCCUUCGGGUUGUAAAGCACUUUUGUGAACCGAGCGGUACCUGAAGAAUAAGCACCGGCUAACUACGUGCCAGCAGCCGCGGUAAUACGUAGGGUGCAAGCGUUAAUCGGAAUUACUGGGCGUAAAGCGUGCGCAGGCGGUUAUGUAAGACAGAUGUGAAAUGCCCGGGCUUAACCUGGGAACUGCAUUUGUGACUGCAUGGCUAGAAUCUGGCAGAGGGGGGUAGAAUUCCACGUGUAGCAGUGAAAUGCGUAGAUAUGUGGAGGAAUACCGAUGGCGAAGGCAGCCCCCUGGGCUAAAUUGACGCUCAUGCACGAAAGCGUGGGGAGCAAACAGGAUUAGAUACCCUUGUAGUC
rnacentral:rRNA from 1 species